UGUUGUUGAUGAUUAGUUUGGCUGGAUUGAGUUGUCUAGGAUUAUUGCGCGUUCGUGCGUUGGUUUAAAAGGCGAUAUGCAUCAACAGUAGAAACACUGAUCACAACCCCUUUGAUUGGUUGACGAAAUGGCAAAAGAGCGAGCGCAUUUUUUUUCUCAAGCAGAGCAAGAGCUUUUAUUAGAAGGUUACGGGGAAUUCCAAACUUUAAUAAAGACUCCGGGAAACACAUCAAAUGCUGCAAAAGCCAGAAGAGAGGGCUGGCAAAAAGUAGCGAAUAAAUUAAAUGCAGCCAGCAGUGGACCCAUGCGAACAUGAGAACAAGUAAAAGUAAAGUACAAGAACAUCUUACAAAAUGCAACCAAGAAAAAGGCGGAACAGAAAAAAACAGGUGGUGGUCCGGCCCCCUCUCCCUAUACUCCAGCAGAAGAGCUAGCCCUGGAUUUUAAUAGUAAGAGACCAAUUGUGGAGGGCAUCCCUGGGGGUAGCACCUCCUUAGACCC